GACGAACGCUGGCGGCGUGCUUAACACAUGCAAGUCGAACGGAAAGGCCCUGCUUUUGUGGGGUGCUCGAGUGGCGAACGGGUGAGUAACACGUGAGUAACCUGCCCUUGACUUUGGGAUAACUUCAGGAAACUGGGGCUAAUACCGGAUAGGAGCUCCUGCUGCAUGGUGGGGGUUGGAAAGUUUCGGCGGUUGGGGAUGGACUCGCGGCUUAUCAGCUUGUUGGUGGGGUAGUGGCUUACCAAGGCUUUGACGGGUAGCCGGCCUGAGAGGGUGACCGGCAACAUGGGGACGGAGAUACGGCCCAGACCCCUAGGGGGGGCAGCGGGGGGGAAUAUGGCAAAAGGGGGGGAAGCCUGAUGCAGCAACGCCGGGGGGGGGAGGACGGCCUUCGGGUUGUAAACCGCUUUCGCCUGUGACGAAGGGUGAGUGACGGUAAUGGGGAAAAAAGCACCGGCUAACUACGG
rnacentral:rRNA from 1 species